rnacentral:rRNA from 1 species
UGAGGAAUAUUGCACAAUGGGGGCAACCCUGAUGCAGCAACGCCGCGUGGAGGAUGAAGGUCUUUGGAUUGUAAACUCCUUUUCUGAGGGAAGAGGAAGGACGGUACCUCAGGAAUCAGUCACGGCUAACUACGUGCCAGCAGCCGCGGUAAUACGUAGGUGGCAAGCGUUAUCCGGAAUUACUGGGCGUAAAGCGCACGCAGGCGGUCUAUCAAGUCUGGCGUAAAAGCUCCUGGCUUAACUGGGAGAGGUCGUUGGAGACUGAUGGACUUGAGGUGAUGAGAGGGGUGUGGAAUUCCCGGUGUAGUGGUGGAAUGCGUAGAGAUCGGGAGGAACACCAGUGGCGAAGGCGGCACCCUGGCAUUGACCUGACGCUCAUGUGCGAAAGCGUGGGGAGCGAACGG